rnacentral:tRNA from 1 species
GCCUUUCUAGUAUCAAUUAGUACAGGUGGCUUCCAACCACCCAGUCUUGGUUAGACCCCAAGGAAAGAUA